rnacentral:rRNA from 1 species
GACGAACGCUGGCGGCGUGCUUAACACAUGCAAGUCGAACGGAAAGGCCCUGCUUGUUUGGGGUUCUCGAGUGGCGAACGGGUGAGUAACACGUGAGUAACCUGCCCUUGACUUUGGGAUAACUUCAGGAAACUGGGGCUAAUACCGGAUAGCAGCUGCUGCUGCAUGGUGGGCGUUGGAACGUUUCGGCGGGUGGGGAUGGACGCGCGGCUUAUCAGCUUGUUGGUGGGGUAGUUGCUUACCCAGGCUUUGACUGGUAGGCGGCCUGUGAGGGUGACCGGGCACAAGAGGACUGAGAGAGGGACCAGAGUCGAACGGGAGGCAACGGGGGGGAAUAUUACACAAUGAGCGGAAGUGUGUUGAGACAGCGCUGCGUGCGGAAAGACGGCCUUCGGGUUAUAAACCGCUUUAGCUUGUGACGAAGCGGGAGUGACGGUAAUGAGAGAAGAAGCACCGGCUAACUACGUG